ensembl:lncRNA
AGUCACUGUCUCCCGGGUGAACGAGGCAGUCGCAAAGAGCGUCGGCUUGCCCUCCUGCAGACAUGGGGCGCAGAAAGUCAAAACGGAAGCCACCCCCCAAGAAGAAGAUGACAGGCACCCUAGAGACCCAGUUCACCUGCCCCUUCUGCAACCACGAGAAGUCUUGCGACGUGAAAAUGGACCGGGCCCGCAACACCGGAGUCAUCUCUUGUACCGUGUGCCUGGAAGAAUUCCAGACGCCCAUCACUUAUCUGUCGGAACCAGUGGACGUGUACAGCGAUUGGAUAGAUGCCUGCGAGGCAGCCAAUCAGUAGCAACGCAGAGGACCCACUCCCUUGGCAGCCUCACCCGCUGGGUACCAAUCCAGAGACAUUCCAGGGUCCAGGGUGUGGGUCCAGGGCCUCUGCAGCCCUGUGUGUGUGUGUGGAGUGGGUGUGGGCAUGGGUGUGAGUGUGUGUGUGGCUGCAGGUGUGCCUGGGGGUGUGUCCUCGUGGGCAUGGGGUAGAGUUGAAGGGUUGCUGGGUCCCAGGGGCCUGAACUGCCUCCCUUGGCUCCGAAAGCCUUUGACUUGCUCCCUCCUCUGGCACCUGGCCCCCUGGCUUUGGGGCCCUGGCCCCUCCAGGGACCUGUGUCCUGAUAUCGUAGGUGAGGGCAAGCCUAGCAGAGGCUGCCUCGGGACUGUCCAGCGUCUUCCCCCACCUCACCAGCACUUGUCCAUUUGAACUGGACCGACUGCCCAUCCUCCUUCCCUGCCUUCCAAGGCCUGUGGCCUGGGAUUCAAGCCACAGGCCCACAGGCCUCCUGGCAGGGCAGCCUGUUUUCACGUUUGGCCACUUUUGUAGGAGGAGGGAGGGGCUGGGUUGGGGAUAGCUGUCAGUCACCAGCCCUUAAAUAAAGCAGCCAACGCAAAACUCCCAGCUCUCUGGUUUCCUGGGCUCUGGGUCAGACCCAGGGGCUCAACGAGGGAACGGGGGAGACAGGCAUUCAGAGGUGGCCUGGCGGGCCAUUGGGAGUGGUCAGUCCUUCAAACUGUCCAGCAUUUUAUCUACUCUACAAGCAUUCAAGGUGAAACCAGGGCAGUGCUGGGCUCAGGGGACAGGGAUGAACCCACAGACAUCUGGCAAGGCAUUUACAGUCACAGCAGAAACCGGGGCCAGCAGAGCCCAGGGUGGGGAUUGGGGGGGUCAGAGAAGGCUUCCUGGGGGACAGCCUGAAGGAGCUAAGGCUCAGGGGCCACACUGUGCCAGAGGCCAAUGUCAGGUUUACCUGCCUUGCCCCCAUGUCGCGACAGCCGCCCUGAGGAAGAUGCUCGCAGAUGAGGAAACAGGCCCGAGACAGGAGGUCACCGGCCAAAGGUCCCACAGCCAGAAGACUGCACGGCCGGGCCUUGAACCCAGGAGGCCUGGUUUCACAGCCCAGCAUCUUACUUCCUCCUGAGUCCAGGGUCCAGGCUAAGGGAACAGCUCCUGGCUUCCUGGGGGCUGGGGGGCGGCGGGGAGCACUGGAGAAGAGUAAGGGACCCUUGUCCUAGGGUCGCGAGGAGUCUCUCGGAAGGCUGGAGGUGGAGCCAGACGCACGUGUAAGGUGUAAGAAGAACUGUUUGGGCUUUGUCCCUGGCUCCUGGCAGGAAGCUUCUAAAACCCUUGGAAUUUCCUGAGCAACUGGAGUACUUUUUGUCAUCCAUAAAGAGCCCCUUUUGAUCACAGGUGAGAUUAUGCUAAUGAAGUGACUUAGAGUGGGGCCCUAGAUAGUCUCAGGAAGGGGCAGGAUGCAGAGUAGGAACUCAGUCAGCCACACCCACCAACCUUCGGGAAGGGGAGGGGACCUACAGAUGAAGCGGUUAUGAGGACAAGAUUUGGUGAGCUUCCACCCUUGGUGAACACAGGGAGGUGCUGGGACACUCGGGAGAGGGCACGGAAGCUCCACCCUCCUUCCCCAUACCUUGCCCAUGGCAUCUCUUCCAUCUGGCUCCUCCCGAGUUAUAUCCUUUUAUAAUAAACCAGUGAUGUAAUAAG